CAGCCGCCGCGGGAAUACAGAGGGUGCGAGCGUUAAUCGGAUUUACUGGGCGUAAAGCGUGCGUAGGCGGCUUCUUAAGUCGGAUGUGAAAUCCCUGAGCUUAACUUGGGAAUUGCAUUCGAUACUGGUUAGCUAGAGUGUGGGAGAGGAUGGUAGAAUUCCAGGUGUAGCGGUGAAAUGCGUAGAGAUCUGGAGGAAUACCGAUGGCGAAGGCAGCCAUCUGGCCUAACACUGACGCUGAGGUACGAAAGCAUGGGGAGCAAACAGGAUUAGAUACCCCCGUAGUCCCUGUCUCUUAUAA
rnacentral:rRNA from 1 species